CCUACGGGAGGCAGCAGUGGGGAAUCUUGCGCAAUGGGCGAAAGCCUGACGCAGCAACGCCGCGUGCGGGAAGAAGGCCCUCGGGUUGUAAACCGCUUUCAGCAGGAACGAAAAUGACGGUACUUGCAGAAGAAGGUGCGGCCAACUACGUGCCAGCAGCCGCGGUGACACGUAGGCACCAAGCGUUGUCCGGAUUUAUUGGGCGUAAAGAGCUCGUAGGCGGUUCGGUAAGUCGGGUGUGAAAACUUUGGGCUUAACCCAAAGCCUGCAUCCGAUACUGCUGUGACUAGAGUUCGGUAGGGGAGCGGGGAAUUCCUAGUGUAGCGGUGAAAUGCGCAGAUAUUAGGAGGAACACCGGUGGCGAAGGCGCCGCUCUGGGCCGAUACUGACGCUGAGGAGCGAAAGCGUGGGUAGCAAACAGGAUUAGAUACCCUGGUAGUCCACGCCGUAAACGUUGGGCACUAGGUGUGGGUUUCAACCAACGAAAUCCGCGCCGUCGCUAACGCAUUAAGUGCCCCGCCUGGGGAGUACGGCCGCAAGGUUAAAACUCAAAGGAAUUGACGG
rnacentral:rRNA from 1 species